rnacentral:rRNA from 1 species
AGUGAACGCUGGCGGUAGGCCUAACACAUGCAAGUCGAACGGCAGCACAGUAAGAGCUUGCUCUUACGGGUGGCGAGUGGCGGACGGGUGAGGAAUACAUCGGAAUCUACUUUUUCGUGGGGGAUAACGUAGGGAAACUUACGCUAAUACCGCAUACGACCUACGGUUGAAAGCAGGGGAUCUUCGGACCUUGCGCGAUUGAAUGAGCCGAUGUCGGAUUAGCUAGUUGGCGGGGUAAAGGCCCACCAAGGCGACGAUCCGUAGCUGGUCUGAGAGGAUGAUCAGCCACACUGGAACUGAGACACGGUCCAGACUCCUACGGGAGGCAGCAGUGGGGAAUAUUGGACAAUGGGCGCAAGCCUGAUCCAGACAUACCGCGUGGGUGAAGAAGGCCUUCGGGUUGUAAAGCACUUUUGUUGGGAAAGAAAAGCAGCAGGUUAAUACCCCGCUGUUCUGACGGUACCCAAAGAAUAAGCACCGGCUAACUUCGUG